UACGUAGGGGGCAAGCGUUGUCCGGAUUUAUUGGGCGUAAAGAGCUCGUAGGCGGUCUGUCGCGUCGGCUGUGAAAUCCCGGAGCUCAACUCCGGGCCUGCAGUCGAUACGGGCAGACUGGAGUUCGGCAGGGGAGACUGGAAUUCCUGGUGUAGCGGUGAAAUGCGCAGAUAUCAGGAGGAACACCGGUGGCGAAGGCGGGUCUCUGGGCCGAUACUGACGCUGAGGAGCGAAAGCGUGGGGAGCGAACAGG
rnacentral:rRNA from 1 species